ACUCCGUACGGGAGGCAGCAGUGGGGAAUCUUGGACAAUGGGCGCAAGCCUGAUCCAGCCAUGCCGCGUGAGUGAUGAAGGCCCUAGGGUCGUAAAGCUCUUUCGCCAGGGAUGAUAAUGACAGUACCUGGUAAGAAACCCCGGCUAACUCCGUGCCAGCAGCCGCGGUAAUACGGAGGGGGUUAGCGUUGUUCGGAAUUACUGGGGCGUAAAGCGCGCGUAGGCGGAUUAGUCAGUUAGAGGUGAAAUCCCGGGGCUCAACCCCGGAACUGCCUUUAAUACUGCUAGUCUUGAGUUCGAGAGAGGUGAGUGGAAUUCCGAGUGUAGAGGUGAAAUUCGUAGAUAUUCGGAGGAACACCGAGUGGCGAAGGCGGCUCACUGGCUCGAUACUGACGCUGAGGUGCGAAAGUGUGGGGAGCAAACAGGAUUAGAU
rnacentral:rRNA from 1 species